AAAAUCGCAAAUGGUUCCUAAUGAUAUUCCGCUGUACUCAUAGAUCAGUGCCUAGCCCAAUCGUCAUCAGAGAGGCUGCCUUUGGCAGCUGAUGGGAGCUGAUGCAGAGACCCACACCAAACUUGAGCUGAAAGCUCUCUACUUGGAAGUCUCCUUCCAGUCUCUCCCCCUCAGAGUUUGGGGAGCCCUGAGGAAAAGGGGAAGAAAGAAUUGGAGGAUUCUGCCAGUGAGGUGGAGGACACCAGGAGAACAUGACCCACAGAAUCAACUAAGCAGGGUUGGUUCAUAGAGGCUCACAGAUCCUGCAUGGGUCUGGGCUAGUUGCUCUACAUACAUGCUGUGGUUGUUUAGCGUCACAAAACUGUUGCGAACUGUCGUGAACUGAGGACAGAGGCGAGAAGGAAACCUCGGACUUGGAGGUCCUGCUGGAGUUGGGUUCGAGGUGCAGGCUCAGGGCAUCCGGGUCUGCGGAUUGGUCUCUCAGCGAGACGGCAUCUCCGUAGGACUCUGGGAGUGAGUUGGGCUGCCGUCAGAACAGGACGCGCUCACUUUUCGGGAGUGGGCUUCUAAGAAGAACAGGGAGUCUGUGCUAGGGUGGUGGCUCACACUUUUAAUCCCAGGACCCAGGAAGCAGAGGUAGGC
rnacentral:lncRNA from 1 species